rnacentral:ncRNA from 20 species
UAAGUUUGCGGCGAUGGAGUUCGCCAUAAGUCCGCAUAAGCGGUAAUGACUCCUACCAGGAC